rnacentral:rRNA from 1 species
UGAUCCUCCUGUCUCAGGACGACCGCUGGCGGCGUGCCUAAUACAUGCAAGUCGAGCGAACAGAAAAGGAGCUUGCUCUUUUGACGUUAGCGGCGGACGGGUGAGUAACACGUGGGCAACCUACCCUAUAGUUUGGGAUAACUCCGGGAAACCGGGGCUAAUACGGAAUAAUCUCUUUUGCUUCAUGGUGAAAGACUGAAAGACGGUUUCGGCUGUCGCUAUAGGAUGGGCCCGCGGCGCAUUAGCUAGUUGGUGAGGUACCGGCUCACCAAGGCGACGAUGCGUAGCCGACCUGAGAGGGUGAUCGGCCACACUGGGACUGACACACGGCCCAGACUCCUACGGGAGGCAGCAGUAGGGAAUCUUCCACAAUGGGCGAAAGCCUGAUGGAGCAACCCCGCGUUAGUGAAGAAGA